rnacentral:lncRNA from 1 species
CCUUCUUUUGUUAAAAACAUGUUUGUGCAUAUAUACACUUGUACUAAGAAAAUAUCUCCAUUUUAUUUCCUUUUUCUGUUACCAUGUGACAUAAGAUUUAUUGACUUCACAUCAGCAUUUAAAUAUUGUUAACUUUAUCCCAGAAACUGAAAGCAUCUUGAAAACCACCUAGCAAUACAGGACUUUACAUUUAAAAAAAGCAGGGGUAAUUUUGAUUCACAAAUGUCCUUAGUUGUGAAUGUACCUAAAAACUUGUUUAUAAAGCUGCAUAUAUAGAGCGGAAAAAUCUUUUACAAGAUCUCAGGAAAAUAAUCACCAAAUAACAUGGUGCACUUAAAUCGCACUGAUCAUCACAGCAUGAUUCACAGAUAAUACCGUACAACUACAAAGAUACAACACAUUGCUACACAUACUUUAUUUGCAAUUCAGUACCAUGAAAACAUUUCUCUAAGAGGUCAAUGUAAUAAUCUUUUAUUGAUAUAGGAACUCUGGCACUGAAAGCUUGAAUAACCCAAGGUAAUGAUGUCGUCACCAACGGAGGACAAGAAUAGAACCCAAAUCCCUUGACUCCCAAGCUUGUGUUUUCCAUUAAUUGUGCUCCUUUCUAUUCAUCCAAGAGCAUCAAGUGUAAAAGGCUGGAGAAAGGAGUGGACACAAAUGAGCCAAGUCCGCAAGGUGGAGACUGCACUGAAGGUCCUAGGAAUCGCCCCUUGGCACUUUCCUUUUGUGUUGGCUGAGGAAGAUGAAAGCAGCAACAACCACAAACUCCUGGGACCAAGAACUGGAACUAGGUACUGCUUGUUGUGGUAA